CCAGUCUUUCGUCCCAGCCUGAGCUUUUUACGAAGCCGGCGCUAGCUCUUGAAUAAAAACCAGCAUUCAAGGCGCUUCCACCACCUAGAACACGGGCUCGAGUGUUGAAGACUCCAUCUUCAGAGAUGAAGGAUUGGGAAGGUGAUAAUGGAGAAUUGUCCAAAAUGUUGGCAAAGAACGAAUCCAGGUUUCUUAUCUUAGGGUUGCCAUAGGGCGAGCCUCCUCUUUCAAGCACCAAAACGGUAGCGUUUUGGGAGAGAGUUGCAGCCAAUGCACAGCCAGAGGUUCCACCCCCAAUGAUUAUAUAGUCGUAAUAUAGGUUUGGUGGAGCCUGUUUUGCUUCUUGGAGGAAUGAAUAAUUGGGAGCUGCAUAUGGAGAGUAUAACAAGAUCCAUUUUAAUGGAGAAAUUAAUAAACAGAGAAACAAAGCUUUGCAUCUUAUAUUUUUCUGAUCUUUAUAUGUAAUGAAAUAUCAGUAUUCAGUGAGAAAUUCAUACCUUUCUCUGAGUAACAGAAGCCAUGAAAGAACAGUAAUACUCCAGCAAGAGCUGCACCAAAAUUUCUCCACCACCUCAAACCCAUAAUCUAAUUAACUUCAGGAUCCCAACCUCAAAAAACACUUUCUGGGACUUCUCUAGAAAAUCUAAACCAGACUAAUAAGCUUUAUGUCUGCUCAACAUAUCAAUCUCUACCGCGUUACAUGAAUGAGCUCAAAACCAUGCAAGGAUAUCGGUUUCAAUACACUGGAGACAUGAAGUUGUAGCUCAACAACAAGAAUUGCUUGCAGCCAUUCCUGCAGGGAUAUAAAGAUUUAGUUCAGUGCCCAAGAAGGUAGCUACCCAGCUUGUUGAAAUGCCAAUAUCCCUUCCCUUUUAUCCCUUUGGUUGUAGAAAAGGGUGCCCAUACAGCUUGUUGGUAGAACUUGCAUAAUUAAUAUGGUAUAUAUUGUUUGGUUAAUUUAGUAGACCCUGAGACUUCGUAACGGACAGUUGGCAAGUGAUUAAUGUCUCCAAUUAAUUAAUGAAUAUCCAAAAGAUAUCAUCAAUCAAAAGAUGUCAUCAAUCAACCAUAUAUAAAUAUAUAUAUAUAUACAUAUAUAAAAUGUUUUAUAAGACAAAAGUUUGUUAGAAAAUAUGAAAUAUUUUUAUCAUACUUCUAAUAUUUUUAAAUAUUUUAUAUAUCUAUUUCUAUAUUUUUAAUUAUUAUACAUAUUUGCAUAUUUAUUUUUUAAAAUAACCAUUCAAAAAUAAUUGAAAAUGACUAAAAGAUAUUAUUUAAAAACAUCAUAUUUUAUAUUUUAGAAAGAAAAUAGUUUUUUAAUUGUCAAAAGUGUUUUCCUAUUUUUUAUUUUAAAGAACAAAUUUUUUUUUUAAAUAGUUACCUAACAAAGCCUAACCCUUGUUUUUUCUUUUCUUUUUUUUCUUUUUGUCUUUCUUCCUUUUUUAUAACUCCUUAAGUUUGAUAUUAUUAUAGCAUUUUUCCUUUAAAAUUGAACAUGUCAAUGUAAUUCUCCAAAUACGAUGCACUUUGAACAUUUUGCUAAAAGAAGAAAAAAUGUUUGCAUAUGGUUUUGAUUUAGAGCAAAAGAAGAUAAUUUAGGUGAGUUCAUUAACUAGUACACUAACCAAAUUAGAGAGAGUCUGGGAAAAUGAAAUGUUCCAACCUAUCCACUUCCAAUGAAUUAACAAUUAUAGGCCAUGGAGCCAUCCCUUGGUUGUGACAACUCAACCAUACUAAAAUAAUCAUAUUUACCAUGUUUUUCUAACCCGAGAGGCACACAACUUCAUAUAUAUUGACGAAUUUGUCAUGAGGAUGAUUUUUUUUAAUUUCAACUUAGCCUAGCUCAAAGAGGUAUUUCAUGCUAAGAGUUACCAAUUGGUGUAGUGUAUAUUAUUAUUAGUGUUUAGUUGGUAAUUAUUGAUCCCUGAAUUUGGAAAAAUUUGUUAUUGUAAAAACGUGCGCUCUAACGUCUCAAUUUGUGAAAUCUAUAAAUUUCACAUUUGAAAUUUCACCUACCAUUGACCUAUGAUAUAUAUCUUAAUUAAUCAAUCUAAGUAAAGUAGUGAAUUUAGAAUUCCAAAUUAAGAAGAAAAAAUGUUUGCAUAUGGUUUCGAUUUAGAGCAAAAGAAGAAAGUUUAGGUGAGUUCAUUAACUACUACACUAACAAAAUUAGAGAGUUUGGGAAAAUGAAAUGUUCCGACCUACCAUAAUGAAUUAACAAUUAUUGGCCAUGGAGCCAUCCCUUGGUUGUGACAACUCAACCAUACUAAAAUAAUCAUAUUUACCAUGUAUUUCAAACCCGAGAGGCACACAACUUCAUAUAUAUUAACGAAUUUGUCAUGAGGAUGCUUUUUUUAAUUUCAAUUUAGGCUAAAAGAGGUAUUUCAUACUAAGUGUUACCAAUUGGUGUAGUAUAUAUUGUUAUUAGUGUUUAGUUGGUAAUUAUUGAUCCUUGAAUUUGAAAGUAUUUGUUAUUGUAAAAAUGCUCUAACAACAUCUCAAUUUGUGAAAUCUAUAAAUUUCACAUUUGAGAUUUCACCUACCAUUGACCUAUGAUAUAUAUGUUAAUAAAUCAAUGUUAGUAAUGUAGUGACUUUAGAAUUCCAAAUCAAUCUCAUAAAGAAAAUGACAUGGUCAAUAAAAGAAUUUAAGUGGAAUAUCUUAUUACAAGUUCAAAAAUCACAAUCAUUCCAACUACUCAAAAUCUACUAUUAUUGAUUUUCUUAUCGAACUCAAUCCACAUGAUUAAUUUCCUACCUCCUACUAUCUUUUCACAAUUCAUGGUCAAUGCUUCACUAAUUCGAAAUCACUUCACCCUAAUUAAUCUUUAGGAUCUCACCUACCUACAUCUUACCAAUGACACUAAAAUGGAUGAAUCAUAGAAUGGACUCAUAUAUAAUUCAAACAUUCAAGUGAAAUAUUGUCAAUGACACAAACUCUCCAUGAUGAUCUUCAUGGCCCAUUUUUGCCCCCAAUUUCGAAUUUCGUCAUCAUGGAAGAUCCCUCUAUGUAUUCCCUCUUUGGGACUAAUAAUUUGAGUUUCAAAAGUUUGAAUUUAAGCUUGAAAUGUUUGGUUUUAAAAUGUGACAAAAGUAAGCAUAUUUUCCUAAAUUUUUUUUAUACUAGUGACUUCCAAGAGAACAAUAAAAUUAAUAUUCAUUUGGUUUUGAUUAAUUUUUUUCCUUUAAAAUUGAACAUGUCAAUGUGAUUCUCCAAAUACGAUGCACUUUGAACAUUUUUCUAAAAGAAGAAAAAAUGUUUGCAUAUGGUUUUGAUUUAGAGCAAAAGAAGAAAAUUUAGGUGAGUUCAUUAACUACUACACUAACCAAAUUAGAGAGAGUCUAGGAAAAUGAAAUGUUCCAACCUACCCUAAUGAAUUAACAAUUAUAAGCCACGGAGCCAUCCCAUGGUUGUGACAAUUCAACCAUACUAAAAUAAUCAUAUUUACCAUGUUUUUCAAACCCAAGAGGCACACAACUUCAUAUAUAUUGACGAAUUUGUCAUGAGGAUUCUUUUUUAAUUUCAACUUAGCCUAAAAAAGGUAUUUCAUGCUAAGUAUUACCAAUUGGUGUAAUAUAUAUUGUUAUUAGUGUUUAGUUGGUAAUUAUUGAUCCUUGAAUUUGGAAGUAUUUGUUAUUGUAAAAAUGCUUUAACAACAUCUCAUUUUGUGAAAUCUAUAAAUUUUGAUCACAUUUGAGAUUUCACCCUAUGAUAUAUAUGUUAAUUAAUCAAUGUUAGUAAUGUAGUGAAUUUAGAAUUCCAAAUCAAUCUCAUAAAGAAAAUGACAUGGUCAAUAAAAGAAUUUAAGUGGAAUAUCUUAUUACAAGUUCAAAAUCACAAUCAUCCCAACUACUCAAAAUCUAUUAUUAUUGAUUUUCUUAUCAAACUCAAUCCACGUGAUUAAUUUUCUACCUCCUACUAUCUUUUCACAAUUCAUGGUCAAUGCUUUGCUAAUUCGAAAUCACUUCACCCUAAUUAAUCUUUAGGAUCUAACCUAGCUACAUCUUACCAAUGACACUAAAAUGGAUGAAUCAUAUAAUGAACUCAUAUCUAAUUUAAACAUUUAAAUGAAAUCUUGUCAAUGACACACAAACUCUCCAUGAUGAUCUUCCGUUGGCCCAUUUUUGCUCCCAAUUUCGAGUUCCGCCAUCGUGGAAGAUCCAUCUAUGUAUUCCCUCCUUGGGACUAAUAAUUUGAGUUUCAAAAGUUUGAAUUUAAGCUUGAAAUGUUUGGUUUUAAAAUGUGACAAAAGUAAGCAUAUUUUCCUAAAAAAAUUUUAUACUCGUGAUUUCCAAGAGAACAAUAAAAUUAAUAUUCAUAUGGUUUUGAUUAAAUUUUUUUUUCCUUUAAAAUUGAACAUGUCAAUGUAAUUCUCCAAAUACGAUACACUUUCAACAUUUACAGAGCUUCCAUUCGUAAUGUAGGUGAAGCUAUUUAUUAGCAGCAAAUCCUUACUUCUCAAACUUUCAAACCCACUUGAUAAAGCCCAAAAAAAAAAAUCACAAUUUUUGCUACUUCAUCUUUCACCAAGAAUCUUCUCUCCCAUGUACCUGCAUUAGAAAAUUAAAAGGAAAAAAAAAAUCAGUAAUAAUGGAAAAAAAAAAUACGAAUAUUUGAUUAUGAUAAACGACUAGGUACCUUCCAAGCAUCAUAACAGUAGCUUGUGGAUUAGUCCCCGGAGAGUGAUUAAAGGUGGAACCAUCUAUAAUUCUUAGCCCAUCCACGCCAAUAACCUUGUAGUCUGGCUCCACCACUCGCCCAACAUGGCAGCCUCCAUGAUAAUGCCAGAUCGUCAUUACAGUGUCUAUGCAAAACUGUUCUAAGAAGAUGGAGGCACCGACAUGUCUGGGCCGCAAGUUCACUGGGGAAUAUACCAUCAUAUCUAUUAGAAGUUGGACUCGUAUGUGGGGGAAUCGGAACUUGGAGAAGGCUUUUGAGUUUAUGACUUUUAUGAUGGUGCGCAUGCCUUCCACACAUCUCUGGAGGUCCUCGGGCUCCUCGAAGUAAUUGAAGGUGACAUAUGGGUUGUCUUCUGGGUUGGUGGUUCGGAGCUUCAGGUGGCCUGUUGAGAUCGGACCUUUGAUCUUCUCAAGGAUGAUUCCACCUCUCACUGUUGCUUUCAUCAUGGUGUUCAUGGCUUUAUGGGCUUUCUCCGUACCUUUUGGGUUUGUAGAAGCAUUGGAUAACUGUUCAGGAGGCCUGUGAAACCAAGAACGGAUGAUAUCGGAACCGCUAGCGGCUUCGAUGUAACUCCCAAACGUGGUGAUGCCCACGACUUGGAUGAGGGAAUUUUCGACGGGCCGUGGAGAGGGAAUGGGCAGGCAUUCAUUGGGUUGUCAGCCAUGCCUUGGCCACCAUGGCUGCUCCAGAAUCACUGGGAUACAUGGGCCUUNNNNNNNNNNNNNNNNNNNNNNNNNNNNNNNNNNNNNNNNNNNNNNNNNNNNNNNNNNNNNNNNNNNNNNNNNNNNNNNNNNNNNNNNNNNNNNNNNNNNAUUGUGGGCUUCCAAUCGCGCCAGCUGACAAUAUGAUCUCGCUCUUGGAGUCCCUCCUAUACGCAUUAUGCCUGACUCCUACUUCAUCUCUAAAUAUCACACCUGAGGCUAUUGGCUUUGAUUCUCCUGCAUCAACCAUCAUCAUAAAGAUGAAAAAGCAUUAAUUUCACAAUCAUAUCAAACAUAUUGCCCAACAUUCAGAAUAUCUCAUUUUUCCUAUAGAACAAUGCUAUUUUAUGUUGUCAGAAAAUCACUUGACAUUUUCCAUUUUUUUUAGAUUAAUGUUCGUAGCAGCUUAUAAAAAUGGGUAUCCCCCAAACAGAUCAUCAAAUAUAUACAAGGUUAUGCAAACCCUAAACUAAUGUUUUUCGUCCUUAAUUCUAGGGGUUUGUGAUCCAAAAAUAUAUACUGUAUCAACACGUUAUUAAGUCUUACCAUGCAAUCUAAACUCAAUCUUCUCCACUGUUGCAUGUAAGAGAACAACAAUAUUUUUAGGGUUGGCAUACUCGAGCAAAUCAGCAGCAGUGUGUCUGUGAUCCUGAUGAUCGAAUAUGGUUCCGCCAACUUUAGUCCCAUACAAAUGUUCAUAGCUAAAUCCAUUGUAUGGCAACACACCUGCCUCCAGCAAUCCAUCUCUGACAGCAGACUGCCACUGCAGCAUCGGGGGCUUGAACACCACCUUCUUUUCCACCCAUUCAUAAGACUCCUUCACCAGUCUUUCGUCCCAGCCUGAGCUUUUUACUUCGCCGGCGCUAGCUCUUGAAUAGAAACCAGCAUUCAAGGCGCUUCCACCACCUAGAACACGGGCUCGAGUGUUGAAGACUCCAUCUUCUGAGAUGAAGGAUUGGGAAGGUGAUAAUGGAGAAUUGUCCAAAAUGUUGGCAAAGAACGAAUCCAGGUUUCUUAUCUUAGGGUUGCCAUAGGGCGAGCCUCCUCUUUCAAGCACCAAAACGGUAGCGUUUUGGGAGAGAGUUGCAGCCAAUGCACAGCCAGAGGUUCCACCCCCAAUGAUUAUAUAGUCGUAAUAUAGGUUUGGUGGAGCCUGUUUUGCAUCUUGGAGGAAUGAAUAAUUGGGAGCUGCAUAGGGAGAGUAUAACAAGAUCCAUUUUAAUGGAGAAAUUAAUAAACAGAGAAACAAAGCUUUGAAUCUUAUAUUUUUC
rnacentral:lncRNA from 1 species